UACGAAGGGGGCUAGCGUUGUUCGGAUUUACUGGGCGUAAAGCGCACGUAGGCGGAUCGUUAAGUCGGGGGUGAAAUCCUGGAGCUCAACUCCAGAACUGCCUUCGAUACUGGCGAUCUUGAGUCCGGGAGAGGUGAGUGGAACUCCGAGUGUAGAGGUGAAAUUCGUAGAUAUUCGGAAGAACACCAGUGGCGAAGGCGACUCACUGGCCCGAUACUGACGCUGAGGCGCGAAAGCGUGGGGAGCAAACAGG
rnacentral:rRNA from 1 species